rnacentral:rRNA from 1 species
AUGGCCGCCGUCUCGACGGCCCAAAUCCUCCCAUUCCUCACCACCUCCACUUUCCAGUCCUCGCUUCUCUUCCCGCCCACAGCACGGCGGGCCCCAACCUCGCUGACCUACGCCGACCGCCCUGCUCCCGCCGUCGCGUCCUGUCCUCGCCCCGGUGGAACCCACAGGACUCAGGCUUUCCAGCCCGUUCUCCCUGCCUGUGCUGCCGUUUCAUACUCCUCGUCGAGCGCGGCAGAAGGGGAUGAAGGCAUGUCUGACCCGGAGCUGAGGCUGGUGCUGGAGCUUGCAACCGACGAGGAGCUGCUGGAACUGGAGGAGAUCCUCUAUGGUACCAGCUAUUUCAGCCCAGUGCUAAAAUCAAUUGCAAAAAGGCCGAACACCAUUUCUGUUGUUGCUUUGGAUGAUAUCGAGGAGAGAGAUCUUUUCAUCUCAAAAUUGGAGUCGAGGUUCUUGUAUCUUGCUGCAGAUGCACGCUCUGUUCUAAGGGGCUGGAGGCCAUCAUACAGGAAUGUCUUACUUCAAGUAAGAAGAGAACUUGGUGUUCAGUGCUCCAGUAAAUUAUGUAGUGCAGACCUGGAGGCAGAAAUAUUUCUACACCUCCUGGAUGAAUAUUCGAGCCGUCAGAAAGGAUCAUUUUCAUUUCCAUGGGAUAAGCAGAAAUCUCCAAAAGAAAACCCUAGCAUUGAAGUAAACAACUGGAAGGUGCUUACUGACGCUGCUUGGAGGAUUGGAGCAAAGGGACUAGAAAGUACAUUCUUGAAGGGUGGCAGUGCAUUGACCGUGAAAACAAUCUAUGAAUCGUUAGCCAAGAGACUAUCUGGAAAGCUGCUGAUGGAGACAGCUAAUUAUGAGAUUAAGAAAGAACUUGUUAAGCAGGGUGGCCGAUUAGCUGCUGUUAACCUUGAAUCCAGAGCUGGCUUUCUUGCAGCUAGGCAGGGUUUGGCUCGUGCAGCAUCUAGAUAUGUUGGCCUUAGGAGUUUCAUGAGUUUACUUGGACCAAUAAUGUGGGGCACACUCUUGGCUGAUAUUGUGAUCCAAAUGCUUGGGACAGAUUAUGCUAGGAUCGUGCAAGCAAUCUACGCUUUUGCUCAGAUUCGGCUCACUCGGUCGUGUUACCUAGAAUCUAUUGAAGAAUGA